rnacentral:lncRNA from 1 species
AACAUGCUAGUUUCCCAAAUGUGCAGGGAAAGCUUUCUUUAGUUUGGAAGGCUCUUUCUGCUUUCUUAUGAUUUUCCUUUAAUGGUUUUGUUGGGUUGGGGCUAGAGGGAAAAAAAUGUUUAAUAUAUAUAUUUCCUUUUUAACUUUUAUUUUAAGGCCAGCAGCACCACUUCUGAAAUCCAACAAUGAAAAGGUGUCAGAGCCUAAUAUUGAAGCCAACAGUCAUUAUGAUUCUACAAACUCAGAUGUGGAGUACACAGAAGUGGAAGUGUCCUCAGUGGAGCCCCACCAAGUUCUAGGAACGAAGGGCACAGACACAGUGUACAGUGAGAUCCGGAAAGCCGAUCCUAAUUUUGUGGAAAACAGAUAUUCUAGAACAGAAGUCUCCCUUGACAGAACUUAGGACAGCAAAAGUAGGUGCUCAUGCCUGGCAGGACAUCCACAUCCCAAGAAGCGCAGAUGAUUCCCAUAUUCCGAGAGCUCUGUGCACUUAUGAAACUGCUCUGCUCCCAUGUAACCUAGAAAUUCCUCAGGCCAAGGCACCAGUUCUCAAAUCCAUCCUGCUGCGUUAAUGUUAGGCAUAAGGAGAUACAGAGGGGCUGUUCAGUCGCCUGCGGGCCCCUCCUUCCAAGUUGGAGCAUCCUUGCAAUGCAGAAGAGUGAAAGGAGAUCAGAGUAAACAGGCCACUGGAGUAUUUUAAAAACUUGAAUAUUUUGUCUUGUACAGAGAUAGAGAACCUCUGCAUGCACCUGUUUUUUCUUGUACCCAAUCAUUUCUAGCAGAUGGCCUACUGUCAGGCUUAGUUUUUCGUUUUUCUUUUCUUUUCCUUUGGUCCUUCAAAGGCCUGAAGCUCUGGAUAGUGCUUGUUCUUUGGAAAUGACCAGACCACUCCCCCCACCACACCCCCUCUGACCUCACCCACAAGUGGGUAACGAAGCUGCUCGGGUGCGACUCCUCCACAACACCACGAAGGCCCGCGUGGGAAGUGUGAGAGUGGAUGAGGAAGGCAGUGGGAGUACAGAUGUUCUUACCAUGUUUUCUUCCUCUGCCACGUUGAAGGCCAAAAGAUGAGAAAUGGUUGCCUACCGCAAAUCCUAUUUUUAAUAGAAAAAUGAAGUGUGUAUUUUUCUUACUAAUUUUUUUUUAAUUUAUUCCCUGCUACAGAAGUGAUCUCCUGAGAUCUUAAGAUGUUUCGGAGGCUGUCUUGAGUGGGUGGGAAGGGGGCUGCGGCUGUUACUGCAGAGCGAGAGACAGCGCUUAGCUAAAGCCGCCUUCCUGGCCACCUCAGCGACAGGGCCGCGGGGAUCCUGAGGGGUGUUGUAUGAAAUAAAUUUGAUCUUUACUCUUCUGAGACUUGUGAGAUGUCAUCUUCUGAGAGGCCACAUACAAGUAGAAUCUGUGGAGCAUUCAAGGACUCCUCAGGCCUCAGAGUCACAGGGGACUGAUGAGCAGGACACACAUAGAGAGAGAGAGAGAAUCUAGGACACCACUUCAAUUUGAGUUUCAGAAAACAAAUAAUGUUUUAGUGAUGUUCUGUGUACUGUUUGGUAUAUCCUUAUACUAAAAUAUUUUUAUGUAUGUGAGUUUCAAACAUAACAGGCCAUCUUGUAUUUUAUUUGACAACUCUUUUGACUGGGCAUCCACCCUCCUAAUUCACUAAUCCUCAGGACCCAUCCAGUGACCUCAGAUUUCACUGCCCUCAGGACCCUGCUGGACAAAAAGGCAGCAAGAGGUCUGCCAGAUUCCAACUUCAAAAAGCUGAAGCAGCCUUUUAACCUCUGGGCUUCAGUUUCCUCAUCUCACAAAUGAGGUUAGACAAAUGACUGUUAACAUUUGAGAAAUUGAGACUCCUUUGAAAAUAUGAUGAAGCCAUGUGUGGUGAUGCAUAUUGUAAUCUUACCACUUGGGAGUCUGAAGCAGGAGGAUCUCGGCAAGUUCAAGGCUAGCCCGAACUGCAUAAUGAGACCCUGUCUCAAAAAAAGAAAAUAUGAUGACAUCUAGUGAUUCUUCACCACCACCACACACACAUGCAUGACACUGUAUCACAAGAAUGUCAUACAGGACCGUGGACUCAGGUUAAAGCCAAAGGAUUAGAGAAUGAUUAGAUGACCUCUAACGACCUCCUGAAGUGCCAAUGGUUUGAGGAGAGUCCAGAGCCACUGUCAGCUCCUCAGACACUGCUGCCACCAAAGGUCAUGGCCAGGGAAACAGUGAAGACCCUGUUCCUGUGUCUAAGCCCCACCGCCGGACACACAGUUUUAUGUUAUUUCCUGCCACCUGUAUUUCUGAGGAGGAAACCAUAACACUCAGGGGUCCUCCCUAGUUAAUAUAGUGGCUAAAAAUGCUGUUUUCAGCUUUCCUGACCAGCUGUCAUAACCAAGCGUCUGAAGCUCCACACCUCCCAAGAUCCUCCAUGUGGGGCGGGGCGGGUGGGGAUGGGGACAGGCGGUGGAACUCACUAGUUACACCUCCCUCUCAUGUUCUUGCAGUGCCACUGGUCACUGAAAGACUGAGUCCUUAGCAAACAGAGUUUUUAUCCUCUUCUGAGCCUCAAGAGGUCUGCCACCCAUUGCAUGAACACAUACCAUUUACUGAUUGGCUAAUGGAACUCCUUGACCUAGACUCAAGUAGGCAAUGUGACCUCAUGAUCAAUACUCGUGUUAGGGCCCGGGACUUAGCUCAGUGGUUCUGCCAUCUGCCUCGCAAGUGCACAGUCCUGAGUUCAAUGCCCAGUACCAAAAAAAUAAAAAUAAAAAGAAACCAAAC